UGUUAUGUCAUUCAUGUAUCUUCUUAAGAUUUAACAAAUAUUUUAAACAAUGUAUAGGUGAACUCUUCUAUUUUACAAAAUAUUGUCCUACUGAUUAUAACUUUACCUGGAAAUAUAUCCAACUAAUCAUAAGGAAUAACUUGAGGGAAAAACUCACUCUGAAAGAGUUUCUAUGCCCACUGCCCUGAGAACUUCUUCAGAGGCUGCUCACACCCUAUGCAGGAGAAGGUUCCACUCAACAAACAGCUUGCAAAUGAAGGCCGCUGCUCAGCUGCUGGGGCUCCUGCUGCUCUGGCUCCCACGUGUCCAUUGUGAUGUCCAGUUGACUCAGUCACCAUCCCUGUCUGCAUCUCUGAGAGAGAGAGUCACCAUCACCUGCAAAGCCAGUCAGAAAGUGUCCAGAAUUCAGGAUCAUCAAUAGCAUCCCUGAGAGCAUGUUACAAAUAAAAUAUUACAAAACCACUUCACAUCUGAGUGUGAAUCUGCCUUUCAGCAAGUUAACAAGUAAUCUUAUAAGGUUUGAGAAGUUGUAUUUAGAAGAAGAAGAGUAUCACAGGUAGAGAGCUGCUUUUUACUCCUCAAUUAACCUAUUAAGAGCACUUCUAUUUAAACAGAUUUCUCUGUCUCUCACACACACCUGUGCGCACACACACAUAAACAUGACACACGUGAGUCAGUCCUUCCCUAUAACAAAGAAACUGGCCUAAACCCUGAGUAAAGAAGUUUGUUUAGCAUACAGUUUUAGAUGCAGAAAGUCCCCGAUGCUGAAUCUUCAUCUGUCUGUACUCUGGUGAGGCCUGUCUUGCAUUUGGUACAAUAUGUUGUGUUGAUAAAGAGAGAACCAGUUGUAAUUUGUGGUGGCCAAGCAUAUGGUUGUCUUCAUUGGAUAGCAGGUGACUAUUAUGAGAACUGCCUCACUGCAUGAGAGUAUCUUUAACCCUCUAAUGAGCAGUGGUAUAACCUCCAAUCCCAUAAUAUAAUCACUUCUCACAAGUCACCUCUUCCAUUGGCCAGAUUCAUCCAUUGGGGUAUCAGUACAAACAUCCUGCAUGUCCUCUUCCUUCCUUCAGGCAAAGUAGAGACAGAAAUCUCUGAGACAAAUAAACAGAGACUGGAGACAUUUGGAGAUUUUAUAUUAAUUUAAGAUAAUCAAAAUUAUAUAUAUACAUAUAUAUCAUUUUAAGUAGUUACACAAAGUGUUCUCAACUAAGUAUGUCAAUUGAUAAGAACACUAUAUUUUGAUCCUCUCACUCUUCCGUUACUCUCCAGAGGAAACUUUAAGAAAUCCUUUGAUUAAUUUGCUGAAAAAUACAUUGUGGAAGAAUGAUAGGAUAUUUAGUGAAUUUAAGAAACUGUUACA